UACGUAGGGGGGCAAGCGUUGUCCGGAAUUAUUGGGCGUAAAGAGCUCGUAGGCGGCUUGUCACGUCGGUUGUGAAAGCCCGGGGCUUAACCCCGGGUCUGCAGUCGAUACGGGCAGGCUAGAGUGUGGUAGGGGAGAUCGGAAUUCCUGGUGUAGCGGUGAAAUGCGCAGAUAUCAGGAGGAACACCGGUGGCGAAGGCGGAUCUCUGGGCCAUUACUGACGCUGAGGAGCGAAAGCGUGGGGAGCGAACAGG
rnacentral:rRNA from 1 species